rnacentral:lncRNA from 10 species
CGACAACAUCACCAAGGACCAAACAUUGUGGUAGAUGUACAUGCAAUGUACAUGCAGAGUACAGGUUGAUGCCUGAAUAAAGAGAUGCUGGGUGAGUGUCUGAACCUAGAUGACAUGGAGGAGUCCUGCAGAAAAUAUUUGCUAUUGAAUUCAAAGGUCUAUAGAGGAGUUCUCAACUAAUGAAAAAUCAUUGCAUUAUCUUGAGAGCAAUAGCAAUGAUCAUGCCAACAGUAAUUCAGACUGUGUCAUAAGUUGGGUCACACAGUCCCUAUUUUCAAACUUUGUGGAUGUCUGUCAACUGGCAGUGAAUUGUAUUCAGGAGAAAAGAAGUCUAAAGUAAGUAGUCCAAGUGUAUGAUGUCAAGAAUCUGCCCAUACUUGGUAGUCCCUUGCUACUGUACAAUAAUAGUGGUGCACAUUUGAAGGACUGAGAUGCCACUAACUCUCUGCUCCACCAUUUUGGGGUCACAGUGCAUAUCAGUGGAGGGAAGCAAGUGUUUAGAGGGAUCCUGGCUUUGGAAGACAUUUGUGAUGAUGCUGGUUGAAAGCAAAAGCAUACAGCACUCAGUAUUACCAGGUGGUCUCCAAUCUGAAUCCUGGUUGAUAAGAUACAACUUUGCUCAAAAUUUGCUUUUUAUGGGGAUGUAUGUGGUGGCUUAUGUCUUUAAUCCUGGCACUUUGGGAGGCUGAGGCGGGCGGAUCACGAGGUCAGGAGAUCGAGACCAGCCAGUCUGGCCAACAUGGUGAAAACCUGUCUGUACUGAAAAUAUAAAAAUUAGCCAGGUGUGGUGACAUGUGCCUGUAAUCCUAGCUACUGGGGAGGCUGAGCCAGGAGAAUCACUUGAACUCAGGAGAAAGAAGUUGCAGCGAGCCGAGAUUGUGCAACUGCACUCCAGCCUGGGCAACCUAGUGAGACUCCGUCUAAAAAAAUUUUUUUUUUUGCUUCUUAAUCCUAUUUUACGUAAUACAGGGGAAAAGUUGAGUAGAAAAUUCCAGAAGUGCCUUUCUUCCCAUUGCAGAAGACAGAGGACCCCUGCACCUGACUUGCAGUUGUCUUCCACUGUGAGUCUCUCAGGAACCCAGAAGCCUGACCUUAGAGAUUACACAAUACUUCGUAGCUCAGUGUGUGUGCCAGGAAGUGUCAGGGUUUGAGCUUCCAAUUCUUAAAUUCCGCUUCAUCUCAGGUACACUCCUGCUUUGUCUCUGACUGUUUUUCCUGCUAGGCCAAUAUAUUAGGAGAUGUCAAAGGGCUGAGAGUGUACCAGCCCAACUUAGCUGACCUUUCUUAGAGCCACUGCUUAUCAACCAACUCAAGACCUGACACAGGACAUUCCCUGGCUGAUCAAAAAAUAAUGAUAAGAGCUUUAAGGGAGGGGCACAAUAAAAGGGUAAAUCUCAAAGCAGGUGGCUGUACUUUGGGCUUGCUCAGGACAUAAUGUAACUGUCCUGGGUCUGGAAAUAACUCAGAUGGACUCACAGAGCAGACCCAGAUACAAAGCAGACAUCUGUAGGGGCUUUUACU